rnacentral:lncRNA from 1 species
AGCCACGUCCUGCCCCACAGGCUCCGCGCAGGCCCCGCCUCGCCCCACCUCUCGCCCCCAGGCCUCCCCCCUAAUUCUCAGGCCCUGCGGGGUCCUGGCUCCGACCCCCUCUGGACUCCGCCCUCCCCACUGCUCCGCCCCAGACUCCGCCCAGGGCCCCCCCGCCCCGCUUCUCGCCCGAAAGCCCCGCCCCACGGGCGCAGGCUGAGCCGCGUGGGUCCCGAGCGGCCGCGGACGUGGGCGCAGGCCUGCGGGUCGCCACCGCGCUCGGGUGUGGCACAGGGUCGGGCUCUGAGCGGCUGAGAGCCUCGCGCACAGCAGCUUCCGGAUGUGGCCGCGCAGAACCAAAAGAGAACACGGCAUUCCUGGCCCAUAAGGAAGGAGAGUUUUCGUCUGUGAGGGAUGGUCCUGGCGCAGCAGCAGCGGCCAGAGAGUGGGGCAGAGUGUGAACCACAGCACUGAGCGAGCGGCGGGCUCUCUGUCCCCAGCCAGCAGGAUGGGCCCUGUGGGCAGACACGGCCCCUCGGCCCUGCCGGUCCCCACGGGAGGGUCGUGCCUCCUCCUCCUCUUCUGCCUGCGCCUGGGCGCCUCUUGCCCGCAGAGCUGCCAGUGCCCCGACCACGCCGGGGCCGUGGCCGUCCACUGCAGCGCGAGGGGCCUGCAGGAGAUCCCCAAAGACAUCCCCCUGGACACGGUGCUCCUGAAGCUCGAUGCCAACAAGAUCGCCCGCAUCCCCAACGGAGCCUUCCAGCACCUGAGCCACCUGAGAGAGCUGGACCUGUCUCAGAACGCCAUCGAGACCAUCGGCCCCGCCGCCUUCUCGGGCCUGGCCGGGGGCCUGCGGCUGCUGGACCUGUCCCACAACCGCAUCCGGAGGAUUCCCAAGGACGCGCUGGGCAAGCUCAGCGCCAAGAUCCGCCUGUCCCACAACCCCCUGCACUGCGAGUGCGCCCUGCAGGAGGCCCUGUGGGAGCUGAAGCUCGACCCCGACUCGGUGGACGAGAUCGCCUGCCACACCUCCGUGCAGGAGGAGUACGUGGGGAAGCCGCUGAUCCAGGCGCUCGACGCCGGCGUCAGCUUCUGCAGCGUCCACCACAAGACCACCGACGUGGCCAUGCUGGUCACCAUGUUUGGCUGGUUCGCCAUGGUGAUCACCUACGUGGUGUACUACGUGCGCCAGAACCAGGAGGACGCCAGGAGGCACCUGGAGUACCUGAAGUCCCUGCCCAGCACCCCUGUGUCCAAGGACCCCGUCAGCCCUGCCCCCUAGUGCCUGCCGGCUCAGGCGGGCUGCGGCCCACGUCUCGGCCGCCCCUGCUGUAGCCCACGGCGACUGAGUCUCGCUUGGCCGCCCCCCCCAGCGAGGUGGUGACGGGGCCACUUCCGGGCGGUGCUUCACUCUUACAGGGCACGUCUCCGAGGACUUCUCGUGGCUGCAGCGCCCUUCGGGUCCGGCAGCUCUGCCAUCAGAUGUGCUGACGGAGGAGGAGACCGAGGAGACCGAGCCGUGGAGAGAAACGGCCAGGAAAUGAGCAGCUGGAACAGUAGACCAAGCCGUCUGUCACGAUGCUCGUGUCCCUUCCGCUCAGGGAGCCUGUCCCACGGGGCGCCCCAGGGUGGACUAGCGUUCAGAGCAGGAAGGGUGGGUGCCCUCGAGUGGGGCUGCCCCAGGAGGACAGGCGCCUGUUGUCGGUCGAAGGCACAGGUGGUCUCCACUGCAGACUGGCCGCCGUCGCCUCCCCAGCAUCUCCUGAGCACCCUCGGCCACAGGACUCCCUCCAGGGCAGACGCCGAGAGACCGGGUGUUUUCUCGGGAGGGAACUGCAAUGUGCAACCUUUGGACAACUUUGUUUAUUCUCAGAAUGUUUGUUCAGAGUCACGCUUGUACCAAAACUUCAGUCCAGGGAGAAGGAAACCAACCCCACCCCCACCCCCGAAAAAACAGCCGUGGAGAGAAACGUGAGAAAGUUCCAGCAGGGCUCAUCAAGGGGGCAGUGCCAGCAGCCAGACAUGCGAGGCCCUGCCCCGGUUCCGGCCUCUCAGGCUGCGCCCCGCUCCCGGGAGCCCGUUGUCACGGGUCGCUACGUGCCUUUGCUUUUCAACUCACGGAAGCAGCUCCUUUGCGAAGGACAGGGGGACCGACGCCAGACGGUACAAGGCUGCUCAGCGGAUGCUUCCUUCCUGCCUCCAGCGACAAGAACUCUCUCUCUCUCCUUUCCAGCUUUGCUGCCAGGAACCUCAGAGCUACUUUACUGCUCAUUUUCUUACCUACUUGGUGUUCAGGGUAGACCUCACCUCCGCCGGGACAACCCUGAUAGCGUCUUUCCGAUUUUAUUUUUUUACGGUCUUUUGUAUGCGUGUUUAUAUUUUAAACGACUUCAGAUAUACUGGGGGGGGAAGCAAGUUAGGGGUACGUGGCUUACGGAGCUAAGGGAUAAAGGACGGAAGCCUCCUGGAGCAGAUGCUUAGAAAGGAUGAAGGUGGAGGGAGGCUCGUACUUGGAAGAUGCCCUGUGGCUUUGCAGUGGGAAGCACACUUCCGCGCUGAUGCAGAGAUGCGGCGUGUGUAGCCUCAGGACCAGCAGCUGCAGCCAGACCCGAAAGGCACGUCCGGACAAGGUCAUGCGUUUGCAGUUAUGGUACAUGAAAGGACCGACAGGUUCCAGCACCCUCCCACGCCUGUGGUCCCAGGGUGCUGGUGUGCAUAGCAUGCACCGUGUGGACGGGGGCUCUGUGCUUCUCUGCCUGCCCCCCAGACCAGGGGUGAGGGGUGGGAAGCAGGGCUCAGACGGUACACCCAGUGAGGCCGGUCCUCGGGGAAAUUGACGGCCCGCCCACCCGCCUUUCCAGUGGGAGCUAAAACCAAGCAGCCAGCCCGGGCCAAACCCAUGUGGACCAGGUAAGUGUGGCUGCUGGCUGGCCAGCGGGACACGGGCUCUGGGGGGAGCCCGCUCUGCCGCCCCAUCCCCCUGGGCGCGCACAGCAGGAAGAGCGUUUUGCCCUGUGGAUGGGACCGGGGUGGGGCGAGAGCUGACGGAGGCCUGGAGGGAGAGGGCAGGUGUCAGUGUCCCUGCUGCAGCCC